rnacentral:rRNA from 1 species
AUUGAACCCUGGCGGCAGGCCUAACACAUGCAAGUCGAACGGUAACAGGAAACAGCUUGCUGUUUCGCUGACGAGUGGCGGACGGGUGAGUAAUGUCUGGGAAACUGCCUGAUGGAGGGGGAUAACUACUGGAAACGGUAGCUAAUACCGCAUAACGUCGCACGACCAAAGAGGGGGACCUUCGGGCCUCUGGCCAUCGGAUGUGCCCAGAUGGGAUUAGCUAGUAGGUGGGGUAACGGCUCACCUAGGCGACGAUCCCUAGCUGGUCUGAGAGGAUGACCAGCCACACUGGAACUGAGACACGGUCCAGACUCCUACGGGAGGCAGCAGUGGGGAAUAUUGCACAAUGGGCGCAAGCCUGAUGCAGCCAUGCCGCGUGUAUGAAGAAGGCCUUCGGGUUGUAAAGUACUUUCAGCGGGGAGGAAGGGAGUAAAGUCAAUACCUUUGCUCAUUGACGUUACCCGCAGAAGAAGCACCGGCUAACUCCGUGCCAGCAGCCGCGGUAA